UUCAGAGCAGAGUUGGGGCCAUCAAUUACUGCAGUGAAGAUGGCACCCAUCCAGUCCCAAGCACAAGGUCCAUGAUGAUAGAGACAGAAAGUUAGGGAGAAACAGCAUGAGAGAUGUCUUGCAGAGAAUGGGAUCCCAGCUGGUAAUGAUGUAGCCCAAUAAGAUUGACCACUCGAACCCAGGGAAGGUGCAGCUCCCAUGAGCCCUCCCCAUGGCCCCAGCCUUACGAUUGGAACAGCAACCCUAACUAGAGGAAGAAGUGGAGCAACACCUUUUGAUGACCAGAGGGAGGAAGGAAGCCUUGCUGCAAGCUGGUCAGGUAUGACAAAGACGUGCCCUGUGAGGUGCUGGAAUUGACUCUGAGUUUCAAGAUUCUCAAAUUCAAAAUCCUCUCAAGCUCAAAAAGUCAAGUCCGCAUUUGAUUACUGAAAACCUGCAUUUCCUCUAACUGGUGUCCUGAUGCUUAGUAAUGGAACCUUGACUUGAUGUCCAGCCUUCUUGAGAACCCAAUCCUUAUGCCAAGAACUCGAUUACCUACUGAGGGAAUGAGACUGGAUUCUGCUCUUAUGAGCCUCCGUUCCCCUUGAAUCCCCAUCACCAAUCCUGAGCCCCUUAGGGUGCAGGAGUCCUGCUGCCAUGGGGCAAUGUGCCUGUGCAGAGUGGUUGCCUGGCUUCCAGAAUUAUUGUUUCACCUCUUUCCUCGCUGUGUUCUGCCUGCUGGAUCUCCUCUACAGAUAAGAAAGCAUCUGAGAGCCCCUCCCCCGAGCUUUUCGACAGCACAGUGCGGGUGAAACGUCCACCUUCGGCUCAAUCUUGCGCUGAACUUCUCUGGAGCCUCAUCAGUUUCUUCUACAUUAAAUGUGGACAGUGGGUAUAACUUGCAAGGUUUUUGUACAGAGUAACAUGUCGAGCUGAAUAAGAGUCUGGGAAGAUGCCAGAUGCCUAGAAGGUAGAAAAGCGCUAAGCAGUCAGGCUCUCCUCAAACUCACAGGAAUUGCUUCUCACUGGCCUCGUGGGGGCAGCACUGCCCACUCCUCUGUGCGCUGGCACAUGGGGGAGUGUUGACCUGGGGACUGUGAGCUGGAACCUGGACUCCCUGCCCCACCUGUCAGUCAGUCCUUGGUGCAAAUGAGGAUUCUCAUUCUAUUCCAGGACGGUCCCUGCCCUUCCUCGCUGUACCCCCUCCCCCUGCGCCUCUGUGUCUGGAUCAUCCCCCUGCCCCCAAAAGCAUUAUUUCAGUGCCCAGUUUGCUCCCGCGUUUUUGGUUAACCUAUAACUCAUUAACUAAUACAGCUCUUUCUAAUUCACAAGUUUCCUAUCCAUCAAGCCAUCUUAACAAGAAAAUCAGCCCUCAUCAAACACAAGAGGAAUCUUUGCAAGUUGAUAGAAAAAAAGAAAAUUGGUAGAAAAGAAGAUCUUUGUCAGGUCGAGAAUUUUCCCUUAAUUGCUGGCCCCCUGGAGUUGCUGCCUCAUGUUCCCUGGUGGCCUCCAGUCCCCAGGGAUCACAAGGCAACUGGGGGCACUGACCUAAGGCGGGGAUGAGUUUGCUGUGGGGCAAGUGCAGUAAAGGAGUAGAAUUGCUCCAGUUUUCCCCUUUCAUUAGGCUACCUGAGGAUGGAGAAAACUUUCUCCCUCCUUCUUCCCUCCCUUUCAUUUCUUCCUCUGAAAUUCUCAUUCAAAACACCAUCCUCAAAGUGCUAUCAGGUAGUUUCCUAUCACAAGAAACUAAGACAUACAAUGAAUAGGAAGUUAGUUAGAAAUUUGCACAAGCCAGGGUUUCACAGACAAAAAAAUUUAAGUGCUGUUUUGCUCCUGCAUAGAAAAAUUAACCACAUAGAUGUAAAGACAAGAUUUUCUCUUUCUCUCUCCCCACUGUUCUGCAACCCUCCUUCCCAUCCAGACCUUUAGAAAGAAAAUAUAAUGGCUAGAGGAAGAGCAGGCGGCAGUUAACACUGGAAUACGAGACUAUCUGGAGGUGUUUCAGGUAGGUCUUUGACAUCACAGGAAUCUCAAGAAAAACCCUGCUGAUGAGAUUUUUCUCUGAGAAGGUGAGGGGGAGGAACCAGGACCCCGAUGGCCUUAUGUGCCCCUGUUUGCUCACAGGUGGACAGCAUCUGAAAAACAAAAAGGAGAAACGAGCCUGGGUUACUGGCAUCGAGAUGUAGAACACUUUCAGUAAUGAAAUAAUACCAUUUGAGAAAUGCCGUUUUCAAAACAAGACUAUUAAAAUUGAAGCAAAUAUUCUAAUUUGGGGUUUAUAAGUGAGUACUAAGGCUAAUUGGCAAUAGCACUUAAAUUACUUUUUAGUGGUGUACUUUUAAUCUACACUAGAACCAGCAAAAAUAACUGAUGUCAGAAACUGAGUCCACAUUCAUAGAUUAAAAGUCAAACACAAUCAUGCAUAUCUGAAAUUAACCAAACAAAAUUUAAGAUAGGAUGCGGUGAAUUUUAGUAUAAACAAAAACCACUUCUACUCAAAAAUUCUAAAAACACAUACAUAUAAAAAUACAUACAUUAAAAAUAAAUAUACAAGACAAACUCCAAGCAAACCUUAAGAUAUGAAGCAAUUUCAUAUUGAUAUGAACCACUUUCAUAUCAGAGUAGAGUUUUAUUUGUUUAAAUAAGAAGAUGACUAAUUUUUUUUCUACCUGGAUGAAUGCAGUCUUUAAGCCAGGAGAGUUUAUAGCACUGCAAAGCAUUUGUAGUACCUGUUGCCAUGGAUACAAUCAUUGUCCCUGGUGGGAUCUGUAAAAAUGGCCCAGUCAUGCUGAGACUAUACACUCUUAUUGACCAGUAUCUACACAGUGUUUGUAAGUUAUAGUAUUUUCAUGUGCAUGAUUUGGUUUUAUGAAAAAAAUGCUUUAAUUUAAAUAGCUAGGGGAUUCUACCACUCUGGCUUCUGUAGUAUACAAUAAAAAAAUUCCA